rnacentral:rRNA from 1 species
GUGGGGAAUCUUGCACAAUGGGCGAAAGCCUGAUGCAGCAACGCCGCGUGGGGGAUGAAGGCCCUCGGGUUGUAAACCCCUUUCAGCAGGGACGAAUCUGACGGUACCUGCAGAAGAAGCCCCGGCCAACUACGUGCCAGCAGCCGCGGUAACACGUAGGGGGCAAGCGUUGUCCGGAUUUAUUGGGCGUAAAGAGCUCGUAGGCUGUUCGAUAAGUCGGGUGUGAAACCUCCAGGCUCAACCUGGAGACGCCACCCGAUACUGUCAUGACUAGAGUCCGGUAGGGGAGCGUGGAAUUCCUGGUGUAGCGGUGAAAUGCGCAGAUAUCAGGAGGAACACCAGCGGCGAAGGCGGCGCUCUGGGCCGGUACUGACGCUGAGGAGCGAAAGCGUGGGUAGCAAACAGGAUUAGAAACCCUUGUAGUCC